UAGUGACGUUACUGCCACCCCCAGUUAAAUACACUGGCCUCUAUCUCAGACUCACCUGUUCUGGGAAGGUUCCUUUUGACUCUCAUCCACUCAAAAGUUUUCGUGUCACCGUAAACAUCCUGAGAGAGGUCCCCUCUAUCUUCUGGCACCACCAGAGAGUUACAGCUGGGGGGGUCCUGGCUACAGGCGUGGUACCGAUCCACUCCCCGACCCCCGGAGCGGGGUCCAAUAAGUCUCUCUCUGGGCAAACACACAAGAGGGAUGAUAGGAAACAGUUUCUACAGCAGAUCUCUCUCUGGGCUGCGAGAAAUGGACAUGACUUCAUCCCUCCCCCCAGCCCACCCCACCAGACCCUCCUGGAAUAUCUGCUGGGAUGCUCAAGAAAGAAUGCAAAGGAAGAAAGAUCCAGCUCUAACGAUCCAGCACGUUGCAAUGAAAAACCUGUUCUCUUGCGUUUAGGAAGAAUCAUAUCUGGGCUUGUUUUGAAGACCAGGCGGUGGCAAAGGAAUAAAACUUCACCUGAAUAGGACUGAUGGCGUCAAUAAGCAGGAGAAGUUAGCCUACUCUGGGUUAUUCAUUUAUAUAUCAUUGAAAAUAUUUCCAUCAUCUUUCUUGUGACUCUUCCACAGCUUUGAAGGAUUAAGCCGGUCACUAAAAACGUUUUAGAAAAGUACAACCACCUAAAAUAGUUUCCAAAUGUCUUUUAAUAAAAUGAAGAUAUAUGAUAUAUAGUGUAUAUAU
rnacentral:lncRNA from 1 species